rnacentral:lncRNA from 1 species
UAGGCGUGCGGCACGAAACUCGUCGAAGGUGAGAUCGGAAUAGGAGGGGGAGGGGGAGGAGGACGAAGAAGAGGAGGAGAGGGGAGAGAGGAGGAGGAGGAGAGAGAGGAGUUUGGGAAGGGGCGUUUUGGGAAGGGCAAUGAUUGGUGGGGGAAGGGGAGGGCGCUGCGGAGGAGGAGAAGGCGGAAGAAAAAAAUGGCUAAGGAAAAAAAAAGAGAGAGAGAGAAAAAGAAAAGAGAGAAAGAAUAAGGGUAUUUUCGUCCGAUGACAAAAAAUUCGGUCCGAAUCUCCAAAAUUAGAAAAGGUGACAUAGUUUUUCAAAAACUCAAAACUUGUAGAUUUUUUAUGCAAAUUGGCCUUAAAACUUAGUCUACAAAAGUUUACUUUUUAUUAUAUUAUAAAACAUAAAAUACUGUAGGACUUGUGUAUUUUUCAAAGCACCGUAUUUGUUCUAACUUUUAAUUAGGCUAAAUUACACAAAACCCCCUCUGUUAAAAUCCGAUUUUUUACUUUCCCCCUUGUCAUUUAAAAACCUACAUUUUGCCUCCUUGUAAAGUGAAAAAUAUUUACAGAGGGGGUACAGUGUGAAUUGUGAUGACCAAAUGACCAUUUUGCCUCUCACCAUUUUCGUCUUCUCCUUCAUCUUGCUCAUCUGCCGUCUCGAUCAGCCGCGGUUCACGCCUCGAUCGGCUGCGGUUCCUCUCCAUUUUCUUCUCCACCUGCUCCCUCUCUCCUCCUGCACCCUCGUCGCCCCUCAAUUUCGGCGACAGUAGGGAGGAAAUCGAGGUGCGUGGAUGGAGAGGUAGGCAAGGGCAACGGAGGCGAAGGCGAGGUGGCGAAGGAGGGCGAGAGGUUGUUUUUGGGGCGCAGACGGAGGUGUGGGCGAGGGCGAGGCAGUGGAGGAGGGCGAGGCGGCGAGGCGGAGGAGGGCGGAGCAACAGUAGAGAUGGCGGAGGAUAUUUUUGGCAUAAAAAAAUAUUUUAUACCGGAACCCUAACGGAUUACUAACGGUUGGGGGUGAAGUUAACAUUUUUCAUUUUACAAGGGGCAGUCUAGGUUUUUAAAUGACAAGGGAGGAAGUGAAAAAUCGAGUUUUGACAGGAAAGUUUUCUGUAAUUUAGCCUUUUAAUUAUUGAAUGUUUAGGAUUUAGUAGAUGUAGGUAAAAUGGUAAUCUAAGAGCUAAAAAGUUGAAAACAUACAUUAUUCAUGUAUUUUCGAAAGCAAUGCCAUUUUGAAUAAAAAAUAUUUAAUUAUAGACAUUAUGAUAAUUUUAGGUUAAAUGAUACUUUACAAAGAAAAAGGGAUUAAUUGCAUCAGCUCCUUGUAAAUAUAUCAAAUAACAAAUAUAUUUCUACAAAGUUUAACUUUUCAUUUUAUUCCUACAAAAGUUUAGUGGUAUUCAAAUUUGUCCAUCUGCUUUGUUACCGUUAGAGCACUGUUUAUUUCUUAAGAGUAGAUAAGUGAAAUGACAUUUUUGCCUUUACAAUUAUAUCCCUCCAAAAGCCCAACUGUUUAGAAUUAUGCAGAAAUAUCUUUCAAAAAGUAUUUUAUCCAAUAAAGUAAAAGGGAUAAAAAGGUCAAUUUAACUCAUUCAUUAAUUAGAGUUAAGUAUUUUAAUUAUGAUUAACUAUAUUUUUUUAAGGAAUCCUAACAUUAUGGGUAGGGAUAAAAAUUAAAAGUUAAACUUUGUAAAGACAUAUCUACUAUUUGAUAUGUUUACAGAAAAUUAUAUGCAAUAAACCUAAAAAAUUUAUAAUUUUAUAUAAUAAGAAAAAAAAUAUAAUUAAAUAUUGUUAUUUAGAAUAAAUAUGA